AUCCAGCCUGGCCUUGAAUGCCACAUUACUUUUACAGCCAACUUACUGUUUUUGUCCUGUUUUAGACAGAGGGAAGCAGUGGCACGAAGACUGUGUAUUAAUGAAUAUAAGAUCAGUUUGCAGCCAUAGGCUACCUUAGAACAAGAACAAGUUUUCAACAUUUUUCCCUUUCCAACGUCAUUACAAUGUUAUCUACAGUCCUCCAAGGUCAGCUGCCUAUUCAAAGUCGUCUUCAGUGCGUUGGCUCAGAAGCAUAUGAACUUUGUCAAGGGUGGAGAGAGAUGGAAAGAAGGAAAGAUUUUGGCAGAAUUGAUUCUUCAAAAUUUCCCCUUGUGCUAAUUAGAGAACAUGAUGGAGAUGGAAUGCCAUGACUGAAUGGUUUUGUUUAGCUCUAAAAAUUCAAUUAAAAUAAAUAUUAAUUUCUAAA
rnacentral:lncRNA from 1 species